rnacentral:rRNA from 1 species
UUGGAGGGCAAGUCUGGUGCCAGCAGCCGCGGUAAUUCCGGCUCCAAUAGCGUAUAUUAAAGUUGUUGCAGUUAAAAAGCUCGUAGUUGAAUUUCGGGAUCAAUUUAUUGGUCGUGCUAUUGUACGUACUGGUAUUAUUGAUUCCUACCUUCUGACGAACCAUGAUGUCAUUAAUUUGGUGUCAUGGGGAAUCAGGACUGUUACUUUGAAAAAAUUAGAGUGUUUAAAGCAGGCUCACGCUUGAAUACAUUAGCAUGGAAUAACGAAAUAGGACGGUUGAUUCUAUUUUGUUGGUUUCUAGGAUCGACGUAAUGAUUAAUAGGGAUAGUUGGGGGCAUUAGUAUUCAAUUGUCAGAGGUGAAAUUCUUGGAUUUAUUGAAGACUAACUUCUGCGAAAGCAUUUGCCAAGGAUGUUUUCGUUAAUCAAGAACGAAAGUUAGGGGAUCGAAGACGAUCAGAUACCGUCGUAGUCUUAACCAUAAACUAUGCCGACUAGGGAUCGGACGAUGUUAAUUUUUUAAUGACUCGUUCGGCGCCUUACGGGAAAC